rnacentral:rRNA from 1 species
UGCGUAGGCGGUUUUGUAAGUUUGGUGUGAAAUCUCCCGGCUCAACUGGGAGGGUGCGCCGAAAACUGCAAGGCUGGAGUGUGGGAGAGGUAGGCGGAAUUCCUGGUGUAGCGGUGAAAUGCGUAGAUAUCAGGAGGAACACCUGUGGUGUAGACGGCUUACUGGACCAUGACUGACGCUGAGGCACGAAAGCGUGGGGAGCAAACAGGAUUAGAUACCCUGGUAGUCCACGCCCUAAACGAUGCAUACUUGGUGUGGGUAAUUCAUUUUAUCCGUGCCGGAGCUAACGCGUUAAGUAUGCCGCCUGGGGAGUACGGUCGCAAGGCUGAA